rnacentral:rRNA from 1 species
GGGUUGUGAGGUUAAGCGACUAAGCGUACACGGUGGAUGCCCUGGCAGUCAGAGGCGAUGAAGGGCGUACUAAUCUGCGAUAAGCGCCGGUAAGGUGAUAUGAACCGUUAUAACCGGCGAUACCCGAAUGGGGAAACCCAGUGUGAUUCGUCACACUAUCAUUAACUGAAUCCAUAGGUUAAUGAGGCGAACCGGGGGAACUGAAACAUCUAAGUACCCCGAGGAAAAGAAAUCAACCGAGAUUCCCCCAGUAGCGGCGAGCGAACGGGGAGGAGCCCAGAGCCUGAAUCAGCAUGUGUGUUAGUGGAAGCGUCUGGAAAGGCGCGCGAUACAGGGUGACAGCCCCGUACACAAAAGCGCAUGUGCUGUGAGCUCGAUGAGUAGGGCGGGACACGUGGUAUCCUGUCUGAAUAUGGGGGGACCAUCCUCCAAGGCUAAAUACUCCUGACUGACCGAUAGUGAACCAGUACCGUGAGGGAAAGGCGAAAAGAACCCCGGCGAGGGGAGUGAAAAAGAACCUGAAACCGUGUACGUACAAGCAGUGGGAGCACAGGUUUACCUGUGUGACUGCGUACCUUUUGUAUAAUGGGUCAGCGACUUAUAUUCUGUAGCAAGGUUAACCGAAUAGGGGAGCCGGAGGGAAACCGAGUCUUAAUUGGGCGUUAAGUUGCAGGGUAUAGACCCGAAACCCGGUGAUCUAGCCAUGGGCAGGUUGAAGGUUGGGUAACACUAACUGGAGGACCGAACCGACUAAUGUUGAAAAAUUAGCGGAUGACCUGUGGCUGGGGGUGAAAGGCCAAUCAAACCGGGAGAUAGCUGGUUCUCCCCGAAAGCUAUUUAGGUAGCGCCUCGUGAAUUCAUCUCCGGGGGUAGAGCACUGUUUCGGCUAGGGGGCCAUCCCGGCUUACCAACCCGAUGCAAACUGCGAAUACCGGAGAAUGUUAUCACGGGAGACACACGGCGGGUGCUAACGUCCGUCGUGAAGAGGGAAACAACCCAGACCGCCAGCUAAGGUCCCAAAGUCAUGGUUAAGUGGGAAACGAUGUGGGAAGGCCCAGACAGCCAGGAUGUUGGCUUAGAAGCAGCCAUCAUUUAAAGAAAGCGUAAUAGCUCACUGGUCGAGUCGGCCUGCGCGGAAGAUGUAACGGGGCUAAACCAUGCACCGAAGCUGCGGCAGCGACACUGUG